CAAUAGCGUAUAUUAAAGUUGUUGCGGUUAAAAAGCUCGUAGUUGGAUUUCUGCUGAGGACGAUCGGUCCGCCCACUGGGUGAGUAUCUGGCUCGGCCUUGGCAUCUUCUUGGAGAACGUUGCUGCACUUGACUGUGUGGUGCGGUAUCCAGGACAUUUACUUUGAGGAAAUUAGAGUGUUUCAAGCAGGCGCACGCCUUGAAUACAUUAGCAUGGAAUAAUAAGAUAGGACCUUAGUUCUAUUUUGUUGGUUUCUAGAGCUGAGGUAAUGAUUAAUAGGGAUAGUUGGGGGCAUUCGUAUUUAACUGUCAGAGGUGGAAUUCUUGGAUUUGUUAAAGACGGACUACUGCGAAAGCAUUUGCCAAGGAUGUUUUCAUUGA
rnacentral:rRNA from 1 species